UAGGUUAUUAGUUUGCUAUUAUAUACAAUUUUCCCAUAUUUUAUCAUGUUGGGUCCACUUAUAUUUGGCAAAAGUCCACAAACGAGCACUCUUUGUAAUGGUAGUUUUGGAAUAUUGUAGUCUUUUUCAUAUAUUUUAUAUUUCGUGCUCGGACAAAUUAUAUCACAUAAAUUAAAACGGAGAAAAUAUUAAAUAACAAUGGUGAAUUCUUGAAAAUAUGUUUUUUAUAAGAUUGAUCUUUAAUUAAUUGUGAAGACAAUUGAUCUUUGACUCUCCCUUAAUAACCAAGUUUAUAUAAACCAAUCAUCGUAAGAAGCAAAUAGUAAUAACUUUCUCUAGCUAAAACAUACCCAAAUCUUACACUAAUUUAAAUUAUUCAAUAGUUAUUUUUUUUUGUUACCACUCAAAAUUUAAAUGAUUUCUUAAAAAUAGAAAAGAACUAUUAAAAGUAUUAUUAGCUAGAAAAAUAAAAUAGCAAAAUAGUCAUUUUUCAUGUACAACUUAGGGACCUAUAUAUAUGUCAUGCAUCCUUACUACAACUUCUACUUCUUACUUCUUCCUUCUCUUCUUUACUCCAAAGUGAAAUAUUAGGGGAAAACAAAGAUAUUGUUGGGGAGAAUGUUGUCUGGUUCGAAAUCUUUCUAUAGAAAAAUCAGUGGUGGAUUCAGUUAUGAGUUUCAAGAUCGUUAAAUCUUAUAUAUGUACAAAAAUAAGUACAAUAUAUAUUUUUAGACCCUAAAAUGUCGAAUAUAUAUUCUGAAUUCGUCAAUUUAUUGAGUGAUUUCGGACCAGGCUUCAUUCCCCUCAACUCUAUGAGUUAUUCAUCGAUAUUGUCCAAUCAAAACACUAGAAUCAUACAUGUUUUGAAUUAUUCACUUGCAACAUUAAUCAUGUCUUUUUUUUUGUGUGUGUUCACAGCUAAAAUCAGGAUGAUUCAAAUCAAAAGAAGAGAUAGAAGCCACCAUGGUAGUUAAUACUCUAGGUUGAGAACUCGUGGUGAUCAAGACAACUUUUUUUAUAAAACCAUUUUGAAACUUGAGUGUAUAUCUAUGGAAUAUCUUUUUUUUUCUUCAUAUUUUUAAUUAAUUAAUACUUUAGUCUCCCUUUUAUAAACUUUUCUAUGUUUUUCACCAAAUUCAUUGAAAAAUUAAACAAGGAUUGUGUACAUGUAGUGUGAAAACAUGACAUGAUUGGGCAAAAGAGAAAGUUAGGUUAGGUUUUCACCUUUUUAUACAGUUAUGAAGAAGAUUCUAAUUACUUUUUAAUAAUUAUAAUACACCUUUACUUGUAGAGA